UACGGAGGGGGCUAGCGUUGUUCGGAAUUACUGGGCGUAAAGCGCGCGUAGGCGGCUUUGUAAGUUAGAGGUGAAAGCCCGGAGCUUAACUCCGGAACUGCCUUUAAGACUGCAUUGCUAGAAUCAUGGAGAGGUGAGUGGAAUUCCGAGUGUAGAGGUGAAAUUCGUAGAUAUUCGGAAGAACACCAGUGGCGAAGGCGGCUAACUGGACCAUUCUUGACGCUGAGGUACGAAAGCGUGGGGAGCAAACAGG
rnacentral:rRNA from 1 species